GUCGAGAAUCUUUCACAAUGGGGGCAACCCUGAUGGAGCGACGCCGCGUGGAGGAUAAGGUCUUCGGAUUGUAAACUCCUGUCAUGCGUGAACAAGGUUGCUUGGUUAAUACCUGGGCAAAUUGAUGGUAACGCAAGAGGAAGAGACGGCUAACUCUGUGCCAGCAGCCGCGGUAAUACAGAGGUCUCAAGCGUUGUUCGGAAUCACUGGGCGUAAAGGGUGCGUAGGUGGCGUGGUAAGUCAGAUGUGAAAGCCCGGGGCCCAACCUCGGAACUGCAUCCGAUACUGCCAUGCUAGAGUACUGGAGAGGUGACUAGAAUUCUCGGUGUAGCAGUGAAAUGCGUAGAUAUCGAGAGGAAUACCAAAGGCGUAGGCAGGUCACUGGACAGUUACUGACACUGAGGCACGAAGGCCAGGGGAGCGAACGGGAUUAGAUACCCCAGUAGUCC
rnacentral:rRNA from 1 species